AUUGAACGCUGGCGGCAGGCCUAACACAUGCAAGUCGAGCGGAGCGGCGGACGGGUGAGUAAUACAUAGGAAUCUGCCUGGUAGUGGUGGAUAACGUCCGGAAACGGGCACUAAUACCGCAUACUAUCAGAAUGGCCUAGGUGGGAUUAGCGAGUUGGUGGGGUAAAGGCCUACCACGUCGACGAUCCGUAACUGGUCGGAGAGGGUGAUCAGUCACACUGGAACUGAGACACGGUCCAGACUCCUACGGGAGGCAGCAGUGGGGAAUAUUGGACAAUGGGCGAAAGCCUGAUCCAGCCAUGCCGCGUGUGUGAAGAAGGUCUUCGGGUUGUAAAGCACUUUCAGCGGGAAGGCGUUACCCGCAGAAGAAGCACCGGCUAACUCCGUGCCAGCAGCCGCGGUAAUUC
rnacentral:rRNA from 1 species